GUGAAUCAUCGAAUCUUUGAACGCAAAUUGCACUCUCUGGUAUUCCGGAGAGCAUGCCUGUUUGAGGGUCAGUACACAUCAAAAUCGGCGUGUUGCACUUUUGUGACGCUCUGGUGUUUGGGUCCUCUUAUAACUACACCCUUUCUGGGUACUUUUAAGCGGAUUAAAAUUGAUCUUUUUUGUGCUUUUUAGACGUACAUUAUUUUUU
rnacentral:misc_RNA from 1 species